ACAGACACUAAGUAAAAUAUCAGUUGUGGCCGACUCACACCUGAUUGCUCAGAAUCACCCGUUCUCACAAACUCAACUACAUCAUUAAUGAUUAAUGAUGUAGUUGGGCUUACCUUGUAUACAACAAGCUAUGUAUUCUAUUUUAGUUGUUGU
rfam:Populus trichocarpa scaffold_1_contig_62, whole genome shotgun sequence.